CUGUGAUUGUGGGUGGGACGGGAGGUGAUGAUUUCUCCUUUAAGUCUGCCUCCUACGUCACAAUUAAGAAGGUCAACGUUACUUACAGUGAGACAGCACUGACCUCAGUCCAGGUGAUUUUCAACUGUGGCCACAUGAUUAAAGUGGGUAACUUAACAGGAUCGAAGAAUCAAGAAAUUAAGUUUGAUGACUAUGACAAAAUUACUUAUGCAAAACUGUGGCCAAAUAUAACUGGUAACAGAUGUGGGGGGUUUGAGUUUGUGGUUGCAAAAAGCAAUGGAGUCACGACAACAUUAUCUGUGAAGUGUAAGCAACUGGGUCAGCCUGUGUGUUUGGAUGUGAAGUCUGGAAAGAUUAAUGGCAUUACAGGCAGAAGUGGAGAUGAAAUCGAUGCUCUGGGCUUCUACUUCAUUUAGUCUACAGCUAUGCAUACAUAAAGGUUACUGACAGAAUCCAAAAUAUCUGCACAGCAAUCAUAUAAUCUUAAUAUACACAUAUGAUUUCAUGCCUAAAUGUUAAGUAUCUGAUUUGAAUCAAUCAAUAUCACUUUAAACAUUUCUACUAUCAAUUAUUACAUCUCAGGCUCUUGUAUCCAUACUAGGCAAAAAAUAAAACAUAAAUGACAAGGUAAAAAUAUCAAAUGGAUGUGUCAGCCAGAAAAUAUCGAUAAUAAUUUGUCAUUUAUCAUUUAUCUCUCUCUUUGUAGCAUUUUCUGUUCUUUCUCAUCUAUUAUCUUCAUGUAUUGGUACAAUGUCAAUAAAAAGUGUAACUUGA